AAAGUCGUAACAAGGUUUCCGUAGGUGAACCUGCGGAAGGAUCAUUACAAAAAUCCAGAUUAUCCAUUUGUGAACUAGCCUAACUGUGGUUAGGCGGCUGCUUGGCGAGUCGUUUGACUUGCCGGCAACAAAUAAACUAAAUGUAGUCAAUGUGUGAAACUAAAAAGCAAAACAACUUUUAACAGUGGAUCUCUUGGCUCUU
rnacentral:misc_RNA from 1 species